rnacentral:rRNA from 1 species
UGGGGAAUAUUGGACAAUGGGCGAAAGCCUGAUCCAGCCAUGCCGCGUGUGUGAAGAAGGUCUUCGGAUUGUAAAGCACUUUAAGUUGGGAGGAAGGGCAGUAAGCGAAUACCUUGCUGUUUUGACGUUACCGACAGAAUAAGCACCGGCUAACUCUGUGCCAGCAGCCGCGGUAAUACAGCGGGUGCAAGCGUUAAUCGGAAUUACUGGGCGUAAAGCGCGCGUAGGUGGUUCGUUAAGUUGAAUGUGAAAGCCCCGGGCUCAACCUGGGAACUGCAUCCAAAACUGGCGAGCUAGAGUAGGGCAGAGGGGGGUGGAAUUUCCUGUGUGUCGGUGAAAUGCGUAGAUAUAGGAAGGAACACCAGUGGCGAAGGCGACCACCUGGGCUCAUACUGACACUGAGGUGCGAAAGCGUGGGGAGCAAACAGG